CUUUUUAACAACAUGAAGUUGAAUUAUGUGUACUCAGUAGUGAUAAACUCGUUUUUUGUUUUUAUUUUUUUAAUAAAUCUGGUCCAUCAUGUGUAUGUCGGCCGUAGUGCACGCUAUCAAAGUCAUCAUAGGCUGGUAGGCUUUGUGGGCAUCCCUCCAAUAAAGCCAGUGGAGCAUCA